AUGAGAUUUUGACACAUGCUGCCUCUUUGUAUACUCGUACCAUAUUCAAAAGGUUUAAUGAAGAAAUGUUGCAAAGUAUCUCCGAGCAGAUUUCAAGUACCACACUCGAUGGAUCGGUUGAGAUAUAUACUUGGCAGUGUAAGGGGAUUCAACGUGAACAUGUUGUCCGAUUUGAUGCUACAGACUUUUCAGUUUCUUGUGAAUGCAAAUUAUUUGAUUCAAAGGGGUGGUUGUGCUGCCAUGCCUUGCGUGUGUUGAUUGGGAACAUAUCGGUUACGGGCAUUCCAUCUUCCUAUAUUUUGAAAAGAUGGACUAAGGAUGACAAAUAAGGGAAUGUGACUGAUGAGUCUUCUCAAAGGUCAACGGGUCCAUCUAAGUUGAAUCGAUUUUCCACGUUAAUGCAAGAAUCUUUUGAACUGAUGAGUUUGGGAGCCGAAGAUGGAAAUACUAUGAGCAUAGUAAGAAAAGUCUUAAAAAAAAGGGAAGAUUGACAUUUCAUUAUACAAGUCAAGUUUGGUUGUGAUCGAGGAUGCUAGUGAUGAUGAUAACGAGGCUUCUUUGUGUGACAUUGCGGUAUUGGACCCCCUUCGAAGGAAAGGAAAGAGAAUUAGUUAUGGAAGGCUUAAAAGCUCAAGUGAGAAAAAAAAUAAGAAAAAAUCUAAGAAAGGAACACCUUCAAUGCGAAUAGAAAGUCGAGGUGACUGGUUGGCCAAGCAGCACAUGAUCAAACUUAUUUCCCUCAUUAUUCAACGCAUUCAAAUCAGAUCCGUAGUACCUUUUAUCCUAGCAACAUUGGUCGUCCUACAAUAGAUCCAAAUUUUCAUAAUCAGAUGCAAUCACCAUAUAUCAUACCGCCAGGGAUUAUGAAUGGACUUUCCCCAUUCAC